rnacentral:rRNA from 1 species
CGCUGGCGGCAGGCUUAAGACAUGCAAGUCGAGCGGAAACGAUGGGAGCUUGCUCCCAGGCGUCGAGCGGCGGACGGGUGAGUAACGCGUAGGAAUCUGCCCAGUAGCGGGGGAUAGCUCGGGGAAACUCGAAUUAAUACCGCAUACGCCCCACGGGGGAAAGGCCGGGAUCUUCGGACCGGUCGCUACUGGAUGAGCCUGCGUUGGAUUAGCUUGUUGGUGGGGUAAAGGCCUACCAAGGCGACGAUCCAUAGCUGGUCUGAGAGGAUGAUCAGCCACACCGGAACUGAGACACGGUCCGGACUCCUACGGGAGGCAGCAGUCGGGAAUAUUGGACAAUGGGGGCAACCCUGAUCCAGCCAUGCCGCGUGUGUGAAGAAGGCCCUAGGGUUGUAAAGCACUUUAAGUUGUGAAGAAGGCUGUACGGUUAAUAGCCGUGCGGAUUGACAUUAGCAACAGAAUAAGCACCGGCUAACUCCGUGCCAGCAGCCGCGGUAAUACGGAGGGUGCAAGCGUUAAUCGGAAUUACUGGGCGUAAAGCGCGCGUAGGUGGUUUGUUAAGUGAGAUGUGAAAGCCCAGGGCUCAACCUUGGAACUGCAUCUCAUACUGGCAGGCUAGAGUAUGGUAGAGGGAGGUAGAAUUCCACGUGUAGCGGUGAAAUGCGUAGAGAUGUGGAGGAAUACCAGUGGCGAAGGCGGCCUCCUGGACUAAUACUGACACUGAGGUGCGAAAGCGUGGGGAG